rnacentral:rRNA from 1 species
CGACCGGAUGCGGAUCUCGAAAGCCUGUCCCAGUUCGGACUGGAGUCUGCAACCCGACUCCACGAAGUUGGAUUCGCUAGUAAUCGCGCAUCAGCCAUGGCGCGGUGAAUACGUUCCCGGGCCUUGUACACACCGCCCGUCAAGCCAUGGGAGCCGGGGGCGCCUGAAGUCCGGGACCGCGAGGACCGGCCUAGGGCGAAACUGGUGACUGGGGCUAAGUCGUAACAAGGUAGC